rnacentral:rRNA from 1 species
AGUGAACGCUGGCGGUAGGCCUAACACAUGCAAGUCGAACGGCAGCACAGUAUGAGCUUGCUCUUACGGGUGGCGAGUGGCGGACGGGUGAGGAAUACAUCGGAAUCUACUUUUUCGUGGGGGAUAACGUCGGGAAACUUACGCUAAUACCGCAUACGACCUCCGGGUGAAAGCAGGGGAUCUUCGGACCUUGCGCGAUUGAAUGAGCCGAUGUCGGAUUAGCUAGUUGGCGGGGUAAAGGCCCACCAAGGCGUCGAUCCGUAGCUGGUCUGAGAGGGUGAUCAGCCACACUGGAACUGAGACACGGUCCAGACUCCUACGGGAGGCAGCAGUGGGGAAUAUUGGACAAUGGGCGCAAGCCUGAUCCAGCCAUACCGCGUGGGUGAAGAAGGCCUUCGGGUCGUAAAGCCCUUUUGUUAGGAAAGAAAAGCAGCAGGUUAAUACCCCGCUGUUCUGACGGUACCCAAAGAAAAAGCACCGGCUAACUUCGUG